AGCGCAGGCGGUUUCUUAAGUCUGAUGUGAAAGCCUUCGGCUCAACCGAAGAAGUGCAUCGGAAACUGGGAAACUUGAGUGCAGAAGAGGACAGUGGAACUCCAUGUGUAGCGGUGAAAUGCGUAGAUAUAUGGAAGAACACCAGUGGCGAAGGCGGCUGUCUGGUCUGUAACUGACGCUGAGGACUCGAAAGCGAUGGGUAGCAAACA
rnacentral:rRNA from 1 species